UACGUAGGGGGCUAGCGUUGUCCGGAAUCAUUGGGCGUAAAGAGCGCGUAGGCGGCCCGAUAAGUCCGCUGUGAAAGUCAAGGGCUCAACCCUUGAAUGCCGGUGGAUACUGUCGGGCUAGAGUCCGGAAGAGGCGAGUGGAAUUCCUGGUGUAGCGGUGAAAUGCGCAGAUAUCAGGAGGAACACCAAUUGCGAAGGCAGCUCGCUGGGACGUUACUGACGCUGGAGACGCGAAAGCGUGGGGAGCAAACAGG
rnacentral:rRNA from 1 species